rnacentral:sRNA from 1 species
GAUGACUUAGGUCAACACAAAACUUUUUAUUUUUUAUUUUUGAAUAACAAAUAUAAAUUAGAGGUGGGAUACUAAUGAUAAAAUAAGGUGUCUGCUUUAAAACUCUGGAGUUCCCGAAUCAGAACCCAAACUGUAUUCCCUUACAUUCUGAAAAGUCUCUAAGUUCAGAGGUGUGAAUAUUAUUAAUUAGAUGGCACCAGUUUAGCUCUGUGUAAACUUCAAUCUACUCCCAAGUGCAUGUAAUUCUUCCAAAAAUAUGGGGGAAAAAUACCUUACCUGAAGCUUCUGUGGGAUUUACCUACUUGCUUCUUGUCUUGUUCACCUGACAUUUGGUUUCUGCUUCUUUGUUACAGAAAAGAAGAGGAAAGGCUCAACCAAGAGAAAAAGGUCUCUGUUUAUUUAGAAGACACAGACUAACAAUUUUAGAUGGAAGCUGAUGAUUUCCAAGAACAAGAACCCUAGUAUUUCUUGAGGUUAAUGGAAACUUUUCUUUGGCUUUUCCAGUUGUGACCCGUUUUCCAACCAGUUCUGCAGCAUAUACCUAGACAAGCAACAUCCCUCUGGAGCCAGCACAGUACUCCU